rnacentral:rRNA from 1 species
GACGAACGCUGGCGGCGUGCCUAACACAUGCAAGUCGAACGGAAAGGCCCUGCUUUCGUGUGGUUCUCGAGUGGCGAACGUGUGAGUAACACGUGAGUAACCUGCCCUGGACUUUGUGACAACUUCAGGCAACUGGGGCUAACACCGGCUAGGAGCUCCUGCUGCAUGGGGGGGGUUGGAAAGCAUCGGCGGGUGGGGAUGGAUGCGCGGCUUAUGAGCUUGUGGGUGGGGUAGUUGCUUACCAAGUCUUCGACGGAUAGGCGGCCUGAGAGGGUGAACGGCGUCAUGGGGACUGCGGUACGGAGCAGAGUGGUACAGUGGGCAGCAGUGGGGAGUAUUGCACAAUGGGGGGAAGUGUGAUAAAGAAACCCUGCGAGCGGAAUGCCGGCUUUCGGGUUGUAAACCGCAGUCGGCUGUGACGAAGCGUGAGUGACGGUAAUGGGUAAAGAAGCACCGGCUAACUACGUG